CAGCAGGUGUGCUGGCAGGAGGCUGCAGGGCUGGACAGCAGGUGUGCUGGCAGGAGGCUGCAGGGCUGGACAGCAAGUGUGCUGGCAGGAGGCUGCAGGGCUGGACAGCAGGUGUGCUGGCAGGAGGCUGCAGGGCUGGACAGCAGCAUGAGUGGCCAGGACAAGCAGGAGCAGACUGCUGCAGGGGGCAGGAGGGUCAGUGGUCAUCAGAUGAAGCAACUUGCUGCUGGCAACUCCAGCAACAAAGGAGAGAGAAAGUUUGUGUGUCUGGAGUGUGGAAAAGAAUUCACCUCAAGGGACAGCCUCAGA